UUUCUGCAGGAACAGGGCAAGCUGCUCUCACCCAAAUUUCCAAAAUGGUGUUCUCUGCACAAAUCAAAAUCUCUGUGUUGGGCUCUGCAGAUUGGCUAUUCUUGUGGCACGGAUUGCAUCCAGCUCCUUUGUGGCACAGAUUGAGUGAUCACAGUGAAAGAGCACUCCAGGAAAGCUGAAAUGAAGCUUGGCUCAUGGAUGUAGCUGAGAUGCACUUAGCAGCCCCAUGAUUCUCCCUGCAUCCAUCCUGAAUGCCAGCUCCAGAUGUGGGUGCCCUGAGAGACAUCUCAAACAUCUCUGAUGCCAGAUGUGACAGACCUGAAUCUGGGGAGCCUUCUCACCAUGACUGCUCAGCAUCUCAUAUCAAGAGAAACAUGUUGUGUCUACAGGGGCAGCAGCACCCAUAUAAUCCCUAAUUAUACUUAAAUUUUUGUUUUCAGAGAGCCAAAAUACUUUAUCCAUGAUGGGAGUAAUACAAUAAUGUUGUCCCUACUGAUUUUUCCUUUAUUCCAACUAUUUGCUAGCUGCCUUUCUGUGGAUAGAUUUGAAUGCUGUUAGUGACCUUGUGAAAACACUGUUGUCAUUACUAGAACCAGGUCACAAAUACCCCUGGGCACAAUGAAAUGUUUCACCUGCAAUUCUUCAAAUAGUUUCCACUGCUGUUAAUACUUUGAGGUGUAUGAGGUCUCGCACACGUCUAUCCACUAAAUAGCUAUCACCUGCACACAAUAUUUUGGCAUCAAAUAUCUUCUACAUAGAAUUCACAGAAGUCUUACUUGAGGAUUUAUCAAUGCACCAAAUUCCUGAUUUCCUGGAAUAGCUCAUCUAGAGGGAGAAAAAAUCAGCUUCAAAUGGGAAACGGAACCUUUCCAAAGUUCAUUGGUGUUGGAGGUCAAGUUUUAGUUCAGCUCAUUACAGACACAGAUGUUAAAUUCAGAUUAGGAGUUACAUUUUGGAAAAGUUUAAGAUGUUUUGGGAUCUGUGGUUUUGGCCUAACCCUCUCUUUAAUCAAAAAUGACAUCCCUGGGCAAGAGAGUCUUCAGCUUUUUCGUACCUCUCAGAAACGUGCAUUCAGACAUACAGAAGCUAUUUCAGUCUUGAUGAGGUAACUCAGGUCAUGUUUAUUACCACGGCACAGUUGAAAAAUCUCCUCCUGUUCAGACAAAAACCCUCUUCCACACCCACAUUUCAUUUUUUGCCUACAACUUUUACAACUUUUUGGGGAGUGUUUUGUUUUAAUGAGGAAAAGAACAACACUGUUUCAUUAUGAUUGUCAAAUCA